GACGAACGCUGGCGGCGUGCUUAACACAUGCAAGUUGAACGGGCGAUAUUGGAAGCUUGCUGAAGAUAUCGUUAGUAGCGGACGGGUGAGUAAUGCAUGAGGACCUGCCUGCCGGCGGGGGACAACAGUUGGAAACGGCUGCUAAUACCCCGUAUGCCGAGAGGUGAAAGGAAUGGAGACAUUCCGCCGGGAGAGGGAAUCAUGUCCUAUCAGCUGGUUGGUGAGGUAACGGCUCACCAAGGCGACGACGGGUAGCCGGCCUGGGAGGGCGACCGGCCACACGGGAACGGAGAUACGUGCCAGACUCCUACGGGGGGAAGCAGUGGGGAAUAUUGGGCAAUGGGGGCAACCCUGACCCAGCGACGCCGCGUGGGUGAAGAAAUCCUUCGGGAUGUAAAGCCCUGUUGUAUGGGAAGAGCAGAAGACGGUACCAUACGAGGAAGCCCCGGCAAACUACGUGUCAGCCGCCGCCGUAA
rnacentral:rRNA from 1 species